AAAAUAGUGUAUUUACAAGAAAAUGUGAUAAGUUACAUAGAAUUUGUGGGAAUUUUAAUUUACCAUAAACAAUUUACAUGUAAGAAGUGAUGUGCUAGCACUUUUUCUUAUGCAUAGAUGGAGUUAGAAGCGUCCAUAGUGUAGCUAGCUACCAAAAUCGAUCCUUGUUAACGCUCAAGUAUCCAGACAUGACUUUCCCUCCAGUAUUCCUCAUACCGUCUAUGAGGAAACACCAUGUCGAUCCCAAUGCUCCAACGAAGAAAUCGGCUUCACUUGCCAACAAAAAAUUAACAAGAGGAUAAUUCGUGCUCGUCUCCCUCCCAAGACUGGCUUCAUAAGUUGCCAUUGUCAUGUUACCUGUUUGGCGUGUCACAUUUGUGUAGUAAAACGUCCAAUGAGGGUACAGUCUUGAUUGAUCUAUAACUUCCUGCAUUUCUGUUGAAAGCCAGAUGCUCUUAAGAUUAGGAAAGUGCUUUCUUAUACGCUCAGCAAGAUGCAUGUAUUCUUUGAACCCUACAACUAUCAUCUCACAUGCCUUGUCGCCCAUUCGAACAUGCAUGCUCAGCAUUGGCCUAGGACUCCAAGGUUUAUGACUUGACCACACAAAACUUUCAAUGUCAUGUUUGGCUGCCGCUUUCUCUACUCCCUCGGGAAAAUCUGUAAAUUGACUUUCGAGAACCAUUUGUGCUGCUUCCCAGCCAAAUGCUGCAUGUCGUGCAUGGUUUAGCAAGUUACAUGUGUACUCAGUCUGAAACCGCAUUAGGUAGCGCACUGCCUGAGCACGCCACCACCUCCUAUCCAUUUUGCGAUGAUAAGCAAUUAAACUUCCAUUAAUAUCUG
rnacentral:misc_RNA from 1 species